AUUUAACAAACACAUACAAUUUCACUUGUCUUUAUUUCCCACAUUUCUGGCUCCCUCUUUACUACUAACUCACCCCCUCUUCUCUCUUUACUCUUCAACACCUUCCUCAUUAAUUCCAUCAUUAUGCACUCCUCAUUCAAACACUCCAUCAGUACCACAAGUACAAAACCUCUAGCUUUUCUAUUUAUUACUUCUAUCCUCUGUAAUUUCAUCUCUCUUUCUUCUUCCAUUCAGUUCCCAGAUUCUCCUCCGGAGAACCUGGUGAGCGCAGAGAAAAGCAGACUCGGCUCAACGCCUCCAAGCUGUCACAACAAAUGCAAUCAGUGCCAUCCCUGCAUGGCUGUUCAAGUGCCUGCACCGCCGCGCCCUCUCCGCGCCACUCGCUUUGAUCCUUCAUCACCUGGUAAUAACUACUCAAAUUACAAGCCCCUUAGUUGGAAAUGUAGAUGCAAUAACCACUUGUACAACCCCUAAUUUAGGACUGAGCAGAAAACCGAAAAAUAUAAACUAAAACGAGCCGAACCAGACCAGGCUCUCUCCGAGUAAAAUUCACUUUGUAUUUAUUUUCUAAACAUGUAAAGUGUUAAAUCAAGUGGGGCAUGGUUGGGUCCCAGGAAUUGAAGUGUUACAUAAAAAUAGAUAGACAAUACAUAUAUUAAAGGACUGAGGUGUAUGGUGGUGGUGGUGUAGUAGCAUUUAUAUUUAUAUAAACAGUGCAUGGGGUACAUUGAAAUUUGUACAGGGGGAAGUAGAUGACAUGCAUGUAGUGUUUGUAUGUGAUAAGAAAGAGUUGGGAAGUUGAGAGUGUUGAUGAACAGAAUUUAACAUGCUGCUCAGCAGUCACUAGUACAAUGUACAACAAGCAUAUAUGGCUUAAAUUGCUCAGCUGGUGGUUUGGAUUUUUCUAUUUAGCUCCUUA